rnacentral:rRNA from 1 species
ACGAACGCUGGCGGCGUGCUUAACACAUGCAAGUCGAACGGUGAAGCUCCAGCUUGCUGGAGUGGAUCAGUGGCGAACGGGUGAGUAACACGUGAGCAACCUGCCCCUGACUCUGGAAUAAGCGCUGGAAACGGCGUCUAAUACUGGAUACGAGAAGGGUCCGCAUGGGCACUUUCUGGAAAGUUUUUCGGUUGGGGAUGGGCUCGCGGCCUAUCAGCUUGUUGGUGAGGUAAUGGCUCACCAAGGCGACGACGGGUAGCCGGCCUGAGAGGGCGACCGGCCACACUGGGACUGAGACACGGCCCAGACUCCUACGGGAGGCAGCAGUGGGGAAUAUUGCACAAUGGGCGAAAGCCUGAUGCAGCGACGCCGCGUGAGGGAUGACGGCCUUCGGGUUGUAAACCGCUUUCAGCAGGGAAGAAGCGAAAGUGACGGUACCUGCAGAAGAAGCACCGGCUAACUACGU